UACAGAGGGUGCGAGCGUUAAUCGGAAUUACUGGGCGUAAAGCGUGCGUAGACGGCUAUCUAAGUCGGGUGUGAAAACUCCAGGCUCAACCUGGAGACGCCACCCGAUACUGCUGUGACUUGGAGUCCGGUAGGGGACCACGGAAUUCCUGGUGUAGCGGUGAAAUGCGCAGAUAUCAGGAGGAACACCGGUGGCGAAGGCGGUGGUCUGGGCCGGCACUGACGCUGGAGGAGCGAAAGCCGUGGGGAGCAACAGG
rnacentral:rRNA from 1 species